AGACCGAAAGCAAUGGCACAUGUUUGGCUGUGCAAAGACAAGGUCAAACAGUGAACCUCCUUUGUCAGGGCUGUAAUUCUUCUUUAACAGAUGCGAGAGCAAGUUGGUGGUGGCUAGGAGACAUGGGGUUGAUUGCCGAAAAACCCUAGGUCCUUUCAGCUUAAUCUCUACUAUAUGCUGAAUUUGUGUAAGCGUUGUCUGUUUUCUCUCUUUUAUCAGCUAAGGUGUCUUUUUUUGUCUUGUUAUUACUGAUUUAACACUCAAUUAGCAUAUCUAUGUUUCUUCCUGACUUGGGUGUGAUGAGUCCCAGACCCAGUCGAUCUUCCUUGUGAGUAUCAACUUUGCUUUUCCUGUUGGAGUAGUUUGGUAUUAAGACUAGUAUGGGUGUUGAUGAAGAAUUUGCGAAAGAAUAAUAAUAAGAGGACCUGAAAUGAUUGUGAUUUGAGUAGCUUCUGUAGAAACUGCAAAUAGGAAAUCAUUGGGUGUAGUGACUGCAGAACCUGGUAAUGCUUCCUGGAUAACAAAAUGGGUAAAAGAAAUCUUUCAGAGUAUUAUAGAGAUUCAAUUAAAUGUUACAGAUUUGUUUGGCUAUAGCUUAGAUUCUAAGACUGAUCAUAUUCCCUUUUCUAGAGUUUCUUGGCAUCGAUGCGGACUUGAUACGUGAAUCUGUGUGAAAGUGGAAAGUGAUUUUUGCUUCUUGUUCUGAAAUUAAUGAGCUUUUAUUGAUGUGUGCAAGGCUUUGUCUGAUUUUUUUGGAACAUGUUAACACGAGGUCCGGUGGUAGAGUGCAAACUAGAGGUCACAUAUUCAAUUCCUAAAAAGUCUCUACACAUAUUAUGUGGGGGUGCCUGAAGCGAAAGGAAAAAUCGCAGUAGCAUGUUUGGCUCAAGAGAAUUUCGGUUCUGUUUGAAUUUGAAACUUUUCUGGGGGUCGCCUGCUUUGUUUUAUCCUGGAUCUUUGAGCUAAUCAUUAGUUUGCGCGUUGUCGCGACCUAUUUUUUUAGUGUGUUAAGAGACUCCAAGAGAAUUGUCAGAAGAUCAUGGAAUGGAAUGAACUAAUGAAGUUUGAUAAGAGUAUCUAGAUGAGUUGAUAUCUUCCUUGGCGUUUAGCUUAUGGUGAUGCCCUUCAUUCUCAAUCUUUCUGCACAUACUAAUACAUUCUGUUCGAUCUUAUAAUAUGAGCGGGAUUUUUUAUUCUAUGAUUCAAAUAGAAAAGGCUGGUAAGGAAUGUUUUCAGUUCAAAUUUCUGGCAAGGUUUUCUUUUCCUUUACUGUUUGUUGGGUCAGUGAGGAAACCUUGGAUUCUGCAAUCCAAGAACUGUACUUUUUCAAGUCAUAUGGCAGGCACACAUUCUGCACCUAAAUCUUGCAAUCAAACAGUGUCUUCAUAUGAACUUGCUUCGUUGGUGUACGCAGCAGAAGCUGCCGGAGCUGGAGGAGGAUUGAUGCCCACUUUGAUUACCUUCCAGCUUCAGUCAUCUUUAGUUGCUUACAGUCUGCCUCUACAUUAGACAUUGCUCUCCUCAACCUCUCCCCUCAACAUUGCGUCAGCCGUCAAGACAACGAUUACUUCUCUGGUUGUGCACUUUCAUUCUCAAUUGUAGAAAAGAUUUUAGUUUUUGUGAUAUAUACUCCAUGUUUUUCUAUGUCAUCAGAAUUAAUACAGUGGGUUUGUCUUGUAUAUAAGAUUGCAGAAGAAUAAAAGAAAGCAAAAAAAACAGAAAAAAAUUGUAUUGGGGUACUUAAAAUUUUUGUUUCUCUUGUUUCACAUGGAGAUUUACAAGACUUGCCGGUGGAAGCAGUGCGACCUCAUCUCUUGCAGAAAGUGAAUACUUGUUAUGAAGUUCCUUCAGCUUUCUUUCUUUUGCAGGCUUUUCGUUCGCCAUCUCUCUUUGCAGCUGCAAAAUGAGUUCCGCACAGUCCCUACUCAAAGAUGCACAACAGUUAAUACCAAGCGAGCGCUAAGCAAAUGCAGGACAAAAAGAGAGGAGGAUGAGGAAUGUACUUGAGUUGUCUUUUCUUAUAGCCAGAGUGAACCUCCAGUGCUUUGCUCCAUUGACAUUGGGGUUUUAGCAUUCGUCGAGCAACAUAGACUGCAGACGCAGCAAGCAUCGAUGGAGAGUACUUAAUGGUGGCGUAAUGCGCCAUAGAAAGUUCACUUAAAUAGAAGAUCAAGCUCCUCAUCUGCAACAAGAAAAAACCAGAACAAGCUCUUAGACAUCGAACGAUGAAAACAUAAGGCGUUGGAACCGUUAACUUCCAGUUCAGUUUGAGCAAUAUCUUCUCUUCCAUGGCAUUUAUUUGUUCUUGACUGAAAGUAUUCUCCAUUGAGCUGUUCUCUAUACCAGGAGCCUCUCGAAAAGUCUCGGCCUGAAAAUUCCAACACAUAUAAACGCACGCUUAGCGAAUAAUAAUGAACUCAAGUAUGUAUAUAAUACUGAAUCUGUUGAAAGAUUUCAAUGGUGAGUACAUUGGGAUACUCUUCUUCAUCAUAUUUGCAGGAGACAACCAUUGCAGCCAUUCCUACUAACUUAAUCUCAUUCAUCUUCACAGUUUCUUUCGCGAGGAACCGAUCAAGAAUGUUGAUGGUAAGAUAGAAUGUUUCUUGUGCUAGUUGUGACAUAUGGGUGUGAAUUUUAUUCAACCAGUCCACAAGUAUUGCUCUGCUUUCUUCAUUGAUUUCUGGUUGCCUGCUCAUGUAGUCAUCAACCACACUACUUCCCUGGGAAAAUCACACAGUUUUCUCAAGAAACAAGCAGCAAAAACACAAACCCAUGUCAUGUAUAAGCAUUAUUCACACAAAUUAAAGCAAACCCAGAAUUUAUAUGUACCUCA